GGUCCUGGGCCCAGUCUGUGCUGACUCAGUUGCCCUCCGUAUCUGGGGCUCUGGGCCAGAGGGUCACCAUCUCCUGCACUGGAAGCAGCUCCAGCAUUGGUGGUAAUUAUGUGAGCUGGUACCAACAACUCCCAGGAAAAGCCCCCAGAACCAUCAUCUAUGAUAAUAGCGACCGAGCAUCAGGGGUCCCGGAUCGAUUCUCUGGCUCCAAGUCUGGCAGCUCAGGCACCCUGACCAUCACUGGGCUCCAGGCUGAGGAUGAGGCUGAGUAUUAUUGUGCAUCGUGGGAUGAUAGUCUCAGUGCUCACACAGUGCUCCUGGCCUGUGGGGAA